rnacentral:miRNA from 1 species
AAUUUUCAACCCACGGCUGAGUUCAACCCUGGGGUUGAAAUUUCAACCCCGCUCGCUGAAGCAGGGUUGAAAUUUCAACCCCGGGGUUGAACUCAACCCUGGGUUGAAAA